AUGGACAGCAAAUCAGCGAUCUCCCUUGCCAAGGACCUUGUGCUCCACGACAGCUCGAAGCAUAUGGAGCUCAUGUACCACUUCAUCAGGGAUUGCGUGGAGAAGAAGAAGAUCAAGCUCGAGUUCAGUUUGGCUGCCAUGACAGCAUUUCCCGUUCAGGUGCCAUGGCAAGCUUUUUUGGCUGCCAUGACAGCAUUUCCCGUUCAGGUGACAUGGCAAGCUUUUUCGGCUGCCAGGGCAGCGUUUUAG
rnacentral:rRNA from 1 species